GAUGAACGCUGGCGGCGUGCCUAAUACAUGCAAGUCGAGCGAACAGACGAGGAGCUUGCUCCUCUGACGUUAGCGGCGGACGGGUGAGUAACACGUGGAUCACCUACCUAUAAGACUGGGAUAACUUCGGGAAACCGGAGCUAACACCGGAUAAUAUAUUGAACCGUAUGGUUCAAUAGUGAAAGACGGUUUUGCUGUCACUUAUAGAUGGAUCCGCGCCGCAUUAGCUAGUUGGUAAGGUAACGGCUUACCAAGGGGACGAUGCGUAGCCGACCUGAGAGGGUGAUCGGCCACACUAGAACUGAGACACGGUCCAGACUCCUGCGGGAGGCAGCAGUAGGGAAUCUUCCGCAGUGGGCGAAAGCCUGGCGGAACAACGCCGCGUGAGUGAUGAAGGUCUUCGGAUCGUAAAGCUCUGUUAUUAGGGAAGAACAAAUGUGGAAGUAGCUAUGCACGUCUUGACGGUACCUAGUCAGAAAGCCACGGCUAACUACGUG
rnacentral:rRNA from 1 species